rnacentral:rRNA from 1 species
UACAGAGGGUGCAAGCGUUUAAUCGGAAUUACUGGGCGUAAAGCGUGCGUAGACGGUUAUGUAAGUCAGGUGUGAAAGCCCCGGGCUCAACCUGGGAAUUGCAUUUGAGACUGCAUAGCUAGGGUGCGGAAGAGGGAAGCGGAAUUUCCGGUGUAGCGGUGAAAUUCGUAGAUAUUCGGAAGAACACCAGUGGCGAAGGCGACUUACUGGACGAUUGUUGACGCUGAGGUGCGAAAGCGUGGGGAGCAAACAGG